UUUCCGGUUGAUCCUGCCGGAGGCCACUGCUAUCGGGGUUCGAUUAAGCCAUGCGAGUCGAGAGGGUUUAGACCCUCGGCGGACUGCUCAGUAACACGUGGAUAACCUGCCCUAAGGUGGAGGAUAACCCCGGGAAACUGGGGAUAAUACUCCAUAGAUUAGAGAUACUGGAAUGUUCUUUAGUCAAAAGUUCCGGCGCCUUAGGAUGGAUCUGCGGUCGAUUAGGUUGUUGUUGGGGUAACGGCCCAACAAGCCUGUAAUCGAUACGGGUUGUGGGAGCAAUAGCCCGGAGAUGGAAUCUGAGACAAGAUUCCAGGCCCUACGGGGCGCAGCAGGCGCGAAAACUUUACAAUGCAGGAAACUGUGAUAAGGGAACCCCGAGUGCCCGUAUACGCGGGCUGUCCAGGUGUUUAAAAGUCAUCUGAAGAAAGGGCCGGGCAAGACCGGUGCCAGCCGCCGCGGUAAUACCGGCGGCUCGAGUGGUGGCCACUAUUAUUGGGCUUAAAGCGUCCGUAGCUGGACUGAUAAGUCUCUUGGGAAAUCCGCCGGCUCAACCGGCGGGCGUCUAAGGGAUACUGUUGGUCUAGGGACCGGGAGAGGUGAGAGGUACUCCGGGGGUAGGAGUGAAAUCCUGUAAUCCCCGGGGGACCACCGAUGGCGAAGGCAUCUCACCAGAACGGCUCCGACAGUGAGGGACGAAAGCUGGGGGAGCAAACCGGAUUAGAUACCCGGGUAGUCCCAGCCGUAAACUAUGCGCGUUAGGUGUGCUGGUGACCACGUGUCACCGGG
rnacentral:rRNA from 1 species